UGGUGAUAAUAGAAAUUGGACGAGUUAUUGAUUUCUGCUAAAAAAAAUAAUCUUCAGUACGUCAAAUGCGGCUGACUAAGUUACAUAAAGGUCUCCAGGAAGUAAAGGAGUAUGGUGAAAGACUGAAAAGUUCUUAAGAGAAACUCCAGAAUCGCAUAACGCUCCUUCUCUGUGAUUACCGACAACUGCAGGGUGCCCAAUAAUAUGAUUGAAUUUUCACUUGUGAGAUCCUAGAAAUAGCUGAAAGACAUGAAUUAGUAGAUUAGGACAUGAAUACGUUGAGGAGUUCUUUUGCUACUGUGAGUCUGUGUUGGCUACUGAUGGACUUUUUGUACUCCAGGUACAUAUCAAAAUAUGAUGCAGAGGAGAACUCUGAUAUGUCAUUUUCUGCGAGUUUGAUAAAGGUCGUGGAUGUGAUUGGGGAAGUCGAAAUGGUUUGAGCGGUUUGUUUGCACAGAAAACUAAUGCAGUAAUCCAUACUUUUGGAAGAUGAUCCAGGAAAUCAUCCAAGUUCACAACGUAAGUGAUAAUGUAAGUGUUAUAUCUUCUCAAUCUGACUCAUGUAUAUAUGCUUGUUACAUUAAUUAUGAUGUCUAAGUUUCCGACUUCC